CCAGGUUUUGAAUGAAUCGCUGCCAAACAGGACUCGUAAGGUCACACCACCGCCCGUCCCCUCUGCUCCGAAACCCCUCGCACAGCAGUCAGAGUUCCCCACCCCGUCCAUUUUGAGCACUCCGCAUCAGCUGUGCCAAGCGUUUAAUCUGCCUGGUGACAUCCCAGUGUUUCCUGCAUGGGACAGAAGGAGAGAUAAGCACGCUCCCCUGUGCGUUUCGACUCGGGGGACCGAACGUAAACCUGUCCGACAAAACACGAGGGAUCUAGAUGUUUCAUGAGUGCAGGAGCGUCUCGUAUAAACCCUGACACUGAGGUGAUAAUUCUGGCUUUUCUUACUUAAAGGAACAGCUGACAUCCAGACUGAAGGAGGCGGGAACUGAACCACCUCUACCUCCUGAUCCACAGUCACCUGAAGCAGAGCUGGAGCUUUAAAUACCAGGCUGUGCGUGACCGACCACCUCACCUGGAUACAGCAGCAGCAGCCUCUCAGAGCAUGACGCCUCACACAUGCUUAUUCAUCCUUUCACUCUUUAACGACCCCGGAAUGACCUAUGCCUGCAAAUCCUAAUUUACAGAGCACAACCAUACGUGAGGACAGAGACACAAGGGUCCACCCAAGAGGAGACACGACCUGCAGAGGGAGGAACACACCGUCAACUUUUGGGGAACUGGAAGUGGACUGUUUGCUGUUUCAUUGGAAAUGUUUUUGAUAUUUGUUUGAAGUUCAGUUUGUGAAAACAUGAACACAAAUACUCUUCCUGUGUGAGAGACGGUUCUCAGACUGACUGUGGUGUUAAAAAAGAAAAAUACCAAACAGUGUCUAGACACUGUACUGACCUGAUUUCCCUAAAAACAUGAGACUGGAAAUGAUUAUUAUUAUUUUUAAUUAUUAUUAUUUAUUUAUUUUUAUCAAAAAUGUUUGUUCAUAAAAUUAUUUGUUUAUAGAAAAUGCAUCACCAUUUACUUCAUGACCAAAUAUUAUGGGAUAAUGUGUAGAUCCAUUUAAACAGUCAGUCACCAAGCUUCAUUUUACUUUAACUCUCAAAAAGUUGUGCAAUCGUGGUUAAAAAAAACAACAACAUAUAUUAACGUAUUUUGACAAAUAAUAAACAAUGGAAGUACUGUUAAUUACAACGUGUCAGCUGCACACACACACACACAGACACAGACAAAAGGGAGUUGACCCAGGUCAUGACACUCUGGCCCCUCUCUCCCUUUAUUUAGACCAUAUUUUAUGUAUUUUUAUUUUUUAGGAAGUCCUACCGGUGAUUCCCAAAAUGGUGCCUGUUGGUGUGAAUUUCACAGAGCAUGGUUUCCUCUCAGUCUCUCAGAUAAAGGAUGUUCCCAGCCAAUCUUUCAUGGAUGGAGCAAACAGGAGUCAGCAGAAGGAGGAAGUGAGGACAGGUGCUCUGUGAAAGAUUCACAAAAACACAGACAGACAAUGGUCGACAUUUAUCUCAUGAGCUUUACCUAUAAACACUUUUUUUUUUGCUGUUAUUGAAUAAAAACAGCCGCUCAUAAAUGUGUCUUUUUGCCAGACUGCAUGCAUCACUCUGUCAUGCCAUUCACUCUUCCACAAGCACU